rnacentral:rRNA from 1 species
GUGGGGAAUUUUGGACAAUGGGCGCAAGCCUGAUCCAGCAAUGCCGCGUGCAGGAAGAAGGCCUUCGGGUUGUAAACUGCUUUUGUACGGAACGAAACGGUCCGGGUUAAUACCCUGGGCUAAUGACGGUACCGUAAGAAUAAGCACCGGCUAACUACGUGCCAGCAGCCGCGGUAAUACGUAGGGUGCAAGCGUUAAUCGGAAUUACUGGGCGUAAAGCGUGCGCAGGCGGUUUUGUAAGACAGGCGUGAAAUCCCCGGGCUCAACCUGGGAAAUGCGCUUGUGACUGCAAGGCUGGAGUGCGGCAGAGGGGGAUGGAAUUCCGCGUGUAGCAGUGAAAUGCGUAGAUAUGCGGAGGAACACCGAUGGCGAAGGCAAUCCCCUGGGCCUGCACUGACGCUCAUGCACGAAAGCGUGGGGAGCAAACAGGAUUAGAUACCCGAGUAGUCC